rnacentral:siRNA from 1 species
CCCGUCUAUUUUCUUCUUCUUGGG